UUCUUUCCCGCAGGCCGGGGCUGGGGCGGGUUCUGUGCCUUCCCUUCUUCUUUUCCGCAGGCCGGGGUUGGGGCGGGUUCUGCGUUUUCACAUCUCUGUUCUCUCCACCAGAGAGGGCAGGGAACUGGCACCAGGCCCUAACAGGGCCUGCAGAUGAGACACCGGUCUCCCACUGUGACAAGUUCCACGCCCAAGUGCAGCCACACCCUGAGGUCCUGAGGGUCACGGGGUCACAGCUCCAGCAUGAGGAUUUGCCGGGACAGAGUUCAGCCUGUACUGAGCCGAACAGAAAAUCCCCAGCACGCCGUCUCCUCCAGCCUCCAGACCAUGAGCUGACUCACAAUAGAAUUACCAAAAAAGAGGAAUUCAAAUGGAGCAAGGAAAGGAAUAAAGAAAUGAGGCAACGUAUCAUGGAGUCUUCACCCAGAGCCCCCCUUAACCCUCUCCUGCCUGGAGGGACAGCAGCCACCUGCCUAGAGGCGCAGUCCAUUCUCUUCUCCCAGGGCCUCCAAGUGGCCUCACCCUCCGCAUUCCUGGAGAUGGCAGCCCGUGGUGGUCUGUCUGCCCAGCACUCCUUGAGUGGACACCAUUUCUAGCCGCACCUCAUGGCCCUUGGCAGCACUCAGCCCUUAGCACUGCAUGGCCCACACCUUUCCUGAGGGUAUCACAGGGCCGGACUCUCACCCGAGGCACCACAGGUGAAUGCCACUGUCAGAGCAGCGCUGCCCAUCACCAGAGAUGUCAACUGUCACCAGUGAUGUCACCUGUCAUCAGGGCGGUGCCACCUGUCAGAGCAGCGCUGCCCAUCACGAGGCGUCAACUGUCACCAGCGAUGUCACCUGUCAGAACAGCGCUGCCUGUCACCAGAGAUGUGACUUGGCAUCAGCAAUGUGACCUGUCAUCAGGGCAGUGCCACCUGUCAGAGCAGCAUCGCCCAUCACCAGGGACGUCACUUGGCAUCGGCAAUGUCAUCCUGCUCCCCAGGUGCCACCCUCCUUCCUGUACCCCCCACCCCUAAUGCCCACGUGUGCAAUUCCCAGUGGGUACCAUGGAAAACCAAGC